GACGAACGCUGGCGGCGUGCUUAACACAUGCAAGUCGAACGGAAAGGCCCUGCUUUUGUGGGGUGCUCGAGUGGCGAACGGGUGAGUAACACGUGAGUAACCUGCCCUUGACUUUGGGAUAACUUCAGGAAACUGGGGCUAAUACCGGAUAGGAGCUCCUGCUGCAUGGUGGGGGUUGGAAAGUUUCGGCGGUUGGGGAUGGACUCGCGGCUUAUCAGCUUGUUGGUGGGGUAGUGGCUUACCAAGGCUUUGACGGGUAGCCGGGCUGGGAGGGUGACCGGCCACAUUGGGACUGAGAUACGGCCCAGACUCCUACGGGAGGCAGCAGUGGGGAAUAUUGCACAAUGGGCGGAAGCCUGAUGCAGCAACGCCGCGUGCGGGAUGACGGCCUUCGGGUUGUAAACCGCUUUCGCCUGUGACGAAGCGUGAGUGACGGUAAUGGGUAAAGAAGCACCGGCUAACUACGUG
rnacentral:rRNA from 1 species